rnacentral:rRNA from 1 species
UAACGAAUCUUCCGCAAUGCGCGAAAGCGUGACGGGGUAAUGCCGCGUGCAGGAUGAAGCCCUUCGGGGUGUAAACUGCUGUCAGGGGCUAGGAAUUUCAUGACCAGCCCCAAAGGAAGAGCCGGCUAACUCUGUGCCAGCAGCCGCGGUAAUACAGAGGGCUCGAGCGUUAAUCGGAAUCACUGGGCUUAAAGCGUGCGUAGGCGGAUCUUCAGGCUUGUUGUGAAAUCCCACGGCUCAACCGUGGAAUUGCGAUGAGAACCGGAGAUCUUGAGUCAGGUAGAGGCGGGUGGAACGAUAGGUGGAGCGGUGAAAUGCGUAGAUAUCUAUCGGAACGCCAAAGGUGAAGACAGGUGACUGGGCCAAAUCUGACGCUGAGGCACGAAAGCGUGGGGAGCAAACGGGAUUAGAUACCCCGGUAGUCCACGCUGUAAACGAUGCAUACUUGGUCGGAGUGGUUUGACUCCAUUCCGGCCGUAGGAAAACUGAUGAGUAUGCCGCCUGGGGAGUACGGUCGCAAGAUUA